AGCGAACGCUGGCGGCAGGCCUAACACAUGCAAGUCGAACGAACCUUUCGGGGUUAGUGGCGGACGGGUGAGUAACACGUGGGAACGUGCCUUUAGGUUCGGAAUAACUCAGGGAAACUUGUGCUAAUACCGAAUGUGCCCUUCGGGGGAAAGAUUUAUCGCCUUCAGAGCGGCCCGCGUCUGAUUAGCUAGUUGGUUGAGGUAAUGGCUCACCAAGGCGACGAUCAGUAGCUGGUCUGAGAGGAUGAUCAGCCACAUUGGGACUGAGACACGGCCCAAACUCCUACGGGAGGCAGCAGUGGGGAAUCUUGCGCAAUGGGCGAAAGCCUGACGCAGCCAUGCCGCGUGAAUGAUGAAGGUCUUAGGAUUGUAAAAUUCUUUCACCGGGGACGAUAAUGACGGUACCCGGAGAAGAAGCCCCGGCUAACUUCGUG
rnacentral:rRNA from 1 species